AGCCCUUCUGGCCAUGGCAAGGCCCUGCAUCAGCUGAGAAUAUGUCUCUUGAUCCCUGCUCUUUCCAGUUUCCCCUUCCACUAGAUUAGCCCUUUUUGAAUCAGAAAUCCAGAAUCCAAAUUAGGGUUUUUUUAUAAAGGGCAAAAAGGUGGAUUCUGUUCUUCAUUCUCUCUCUCUCUCUCUCCUGCUUUCCGCGCGGAGAUUCUGCAAUGAAACUGAAGCAAUUGGAAGGUCUCCUGGGCGAUCUUCAACAGUUCUCCAACCCAAAGGUGGAGCUGGAACAGUACCCAACCGGACCUCACAUUGCUUCUCGCAUGCUUUACACUGCAGAGAAUUCGUUCGGAGAUGUGAGCGAAAGAGUCGUAGCUGAUUUCGGAUGUGGUUGUGGUACUUUGGGUAUUGCGGCGGCUCUCUUAGGGGCAGAGCAUGUCGUCGGGAUUGAUGUCGAUUCUCAGUCUCUUGAAAUCGCGUCUAUGAAUGCACAGGAGCUUGAGGUGGAAUUGAACUUGGUUCAAUGUGAUCUCAGGAACUUGGAUUUUAGGGGCGAGAUUGUUGAUACUGUCGUAAUGAAUCCUCCUUUUGGUACCCGGAAAAAAGGGGCGGACAUGGAGUUUCUCAGAAUGGCUCUUGCGGUUGCCUCUCAAGCAGUUUAUUCGUUGCAUAAAACAUCAACAAGAGAACAUGUCAAGAAGGCAGCGCUGCGGGACUUCAAUGCUGGCAGUGCUGAAGUUUUGUGUGAGCUUCGGUAUGAUGUGCCUCAAAUGUACAAGUUUCACAAGAAAAGGGAGGUGGACAUUGCUGUGGACCUCUGGCGCUUUGUACCACAAGGAGCUUAGGCAAAACCGCGAAAGUGUUUGCACAUUUACUUGAAACCAUUGUACUUAGAAGCCGAGAUGUAUUAUGUCUGUUCAAAACAUUGGUAGGUUGUUCGCUUCAGCUGCCGAAAAUUAAGCACCUUCUCUUGACAUUUGUAAUUUAUCAAGGUAAGAACUUGUUUCAACCUGUUGCAUAUGCCAUAUUGAUGAAUAUUACUCAAAA